rnacentral:sRNA from 1 species
UCCGUGGUCUGUUAGGAACUGGGCGGGGGCACAGCAGGAGGUGAGCAGUGAGUAUUAGGGCCUGAGUUCUGCCUCCUCUUAGAUCCGUGGAGGCGUUAGAU